AAUAAACGCUGGCGGCGUGCCUAACACAUGCAAGUCGAGCGAGAAAGCUCCUUCGGGAGUUAGUAAAGCGGCGAACGGGUGAGCAACACGUGAGAAUCUACCCUUUAGUGAAGAAUACCCUCGAGAAAUCGAGGCUAAUACUGCAUACGUCCCUUCGGGGAGAAAGAUGGCCUCUUUGCUAUCGCUAAAGGAUGAGCUUGCGUACUAUUAGCUAGUUGGCGGGGUAAAGGCCCACCAAGGCAAUGAUGGUUAACCGGCCUGAGAGGGUGUACGGUCACACUGGAACUUAGACACGGUCCAGACUCCUACGGGAGGCAGCAGUGGGGAAUAUUGCACAAUGGGCGCAAGCCUGAUGCAGCGACGCCGCGU
rnacentral:rRNA from 1 species